AUGGAGUGUGGUCACUGCGGCGAGGGCGUGUCCAUCCCGCGGGGAGCACGCGCUGUGCAGUGCGCGCAUUGCCGCGGGGUGACGCGCGUCGGUCGGCGGCACGGCGCCGUCGGCUUCGUCGUGAACAUGAUCAGCAACAUGGCGGGCGGCGGCCGCACGAGGCCGGCAACGCCGCCGAGGCUGCGGGAGGCGGGCUACCCCAGAGCCCACGGCGACAAGCGCGCCCUCCUGGUCGGCAUCAACUACGCGGGCACGCAUCUCCGUGAGCUGAGCGGCCCCAUCACCGACGUCAAGAGCAUGAGCUUCCUGCUCACCCAGAAGUACGGGUUUCCAAGCCAGUGCAUCCUCGUCCUCACCGAUGAGGAGCGCGAUCCGUACAGGACGCCGACCAAGUGCAACAUCCUGCUGGCGAUGCGGUGGCUCGUGCACGGCUGCAGCUCCGGCGACUCCCUCGUGUUCCACUUCUCCGGCCACGGCGACCAGGUGCGCGACGACGACGGCGACGAGCGGGACGGGAAGGACGAGGUGCUCUGCCCGCUCGACUCGGACCCGGACGACUACGGCAGCGACAUCCGGGACGACGAGAUCAACGCGGCCCUGGUCCGGCCGCUCGUGCACGGCGUCAGGCUCCACGCCGUCGUCGACGCCUGCCACAGCGGCACCGUCCUUGAUCUCCCCAACCUCUGCAAGAUCAAAAGGAACGGGGAAUCUGAAUGGACGGACCAGAGCGCUCCGAACGGCGCCUGGAAGAAAACGAGCGGCGGGCAGGCGGUCCUGAUCAGCGGCUGCGCCGACACCCAGACGUCGACCGACGGGAUCGGCGACGAGCUCGUGGGCAUGGGGGCCCUGACGUACAGCUUCUUCACGGCGGCGCUGUUCGCGCAGCGGACGCCCACCUACGCGCAGCUGCUGGCGACGAUAAAGGCCAUCAUCCGCGAGCGCAACGCCGACGGGCGGAUCAACUGCAAGCUCCCCGCGCCCGUCUGCUCGCUCGUCCGCAAGGUGGUCAACUUCAGCGGCGUGCAGGAGCCGCAGCUGACUUCGUCGGACAAGUUCGACAUCAACCGGACGCAGUUUCUGCUAUGA
rnacentral:rRNA from 1 species